GAAAUGCGAUAAGUAAUGUGAAUUGCAGAAUUCAGUGAAUCAUCGAAUCUUUGAACGCACCUUGCGCUCCUUGGUAUUCCUUGGAGCAUGCCUGUUUGAGUAUCAUGACAUCUUCAACGUAUAUCUUUUGUUAACUCAAUUGGUUUCUACUUUGGUAUUGGAGGUCUUUGCAGCUUCACACCUGCUCCUCUUUGUUCAUUAGCUGGAUCUCAGUGUUAUGCUUGGUUCCACUCGGCGUGAUAAGUUAUCUAUCGCUGAGGACACUGUAAAAGGUGGCCAAGGUAAAUGCAGAUGAACCGCUUCUAAUAGUCCAUUGACUUGGACAAUACUUUUAUGAUCUGAUCUCAAAUCAGGUAGGACUACCCGCUGAACUUAAGC
rnacentral:misc_RNA from 1 species